rnacentral:rRNA from 1 species
AUGAAACUUGUCGGUUGGAACAGCCGGGAACUCGGGAAUGGCCCGGCGGUUCAGGGCCUCCUCGAUCUGGGGAGGGCGGAGGAUCCCGAUGUUCUUUUUCUAGCUGAAACAAAGAUGACUGUGAGCGAGUUAGAGAAAUUCCGAUGGAGGCUGGGCUGA